ensembl:rRNA 5S_rRNA 5S ribosomal RNA
AUCAAAAGCCAUAUCACCCUAUAGCCGAAGACUGGUUGCUCACUAAAGCUAAGCAGGGAUGACUUGAGCUUGGUCAGUACCUGGAUGGGAGACCACAUGGGAAAACUUAGUUGCUGCUGGAA